GCUGGAGCGGGUGAGGAAGGAGAAGCGACCAUGGACACCGUCCACCUCACUUUCAAGUUCGUCGGGAGGUUCGACCCCUGGAGUUUCACAACACCGACGGUUGGACAACUAUGAACAUAAGUUUGAAGAAAUCGACCAUCGGCUUGCCCAACUCCAGGCGGAUGGUCAGAAGUCUUCAAACGAUGUCGACUUUCGGACCACCCAACCUCUCUC
rnacentral:lncRNA from 1 species